GUGGGGAAUCUUCCGCAAUGGACGAAAGUCUGACGGAGCAACGCCGCGUGAGUGAAGAAGGUUUUCGGAUCGUAAAGCUCUUUCGUUAGGGACGAACGUGCUCUUUGUGAAUAAUGAGGAGUAAUGACGGUACCUAAAUAAGAAGCCACGGCUAACUACGUGCCAGCAGCCGCGGUAAUACGUAGGUGGCAAGCGUUGUCCGGAAUUAUUGGGCGUAAAGCGCGCGCAGGCGGGAUAUCAAGUCUGUCUUAAAAGUGCGAGGCUCAACCUCGUGAGGGGACAGAAACUGGUAUUCUUGAGUGUCGGAGAGGAAAGUGGAAUUCCAAGUGUAGCGGUGAAAUGCGUAGAGAUUUGGAAGAACGCCAGUGGCGAAGGCGACUUUCUGGACGAUGUCUGACGCUGAGGCGCGAAAGCUAGGGGAGCGAACGGGAUUAGAUACCCUUGUAGUCC
rnacentral:rRNA from 1 species